GCCGGGCGUUUGUGGCGCACGCCUUUAAUCCCAGCACUCUGGAGGCAGAGGCAGGCGGAUCUCUGUGAGUUCGAGGCCAGCCUGGUCUACAGAGCAAGUGCCAGGAUAGGCUCCAAAGCUACACAGAGAAACCCUGUCUCGAAAAACCAAAAAAAAAAAAAAAAAGACGGAGUUUCUCUGUGGCUUUGGAGGCUGUCCUGAAACUAGCUCUUGUAGACCAGGCUGGUCUCAAACUCACAGAGAUCCGCCUGCCUCUG
rnacentral:sRNA from 1 species